rnacentral:rRNA from 1 species
GAUGAACGCUGACAGAAUGCUUAACACAUGCAAGUCUUUGGCGAAGCUGUGCUUGCACAGCCUAGCCAAGGCGGACGGGUGAGUAACGCGUAAGGAACUUGCCCUGCAGUCAGGGAUAACAGACGGAAACGACUGAUAAGACCUGGUAAAGUCAGGCGGACUCAUGUCCAGCCUGAUGAAAAGUGAUGCUGCAGGAGAGCCUUGCGUCCUAUUAGCUUGUUGGUGGGGUAACGGCCCACCAAGGCGAUGAUAGGUAGCCGGCCUGAGAGGGUGGACGGCCACAAGGGGACUGAGAUACGGCCCUUACUCCUACGGGAGGCAGCAGUGGGGAAUAUUGGACAAUGGGGGCAACCCUGAUCCAGCAAUUCUGUGUGCACGACGAAGGUUUUCGGAUUGUAAAGUGCUUUCAGCAGGGAAGAAAAAAAUGACGGUACCUGCAGAAGAAGCGACGGCUAAAUACGCG